rnacentral:rRNA from 1 species
UACGUAGGGAGCAAGCGUUGUCCGGAAUCAUUGGGCGUAAAGCGCGCGUAGGUGGCCAUGUAAGUCCGCUGUGAAAGUCAAAGGCUCAACCUUUGAAAGCCGGUGGAUACUGCAUGGCUAGAGUACGGAAGAGGCGAGUGGAAUUCCUGGUGUAGCGGUGGAAUGCGCAGAUAUCAGGAGGAACACCAAUAGCGAAGGCAGCUCGCUGGGACGUCACUGACACUGAGGCACGAAAGCGUGGGGAUCAAACAGG